rnacentral:rRNA from 1 species
GACAGAGGGGGCAAGCGUUGCUCGGAAUUACUGGGCGUAAAGGGCGCGUAGGCGGGAUGGCAAGUCGGUCGUGAAAUCCCUCGGCUCAACCGAGGAACGUCGAUCGAUACUGCUGUUCUUGAGGAUUGCAGAGGAGACUGGAAUUCCCGGUGUAGCGGUGAAAUGUGUAGAUAUCGGGAGGAAUACCAGUGGCGCAAGCGGCGCCCUGGCCGUGACCUGACACUGAGCCACGACGGCGUGGGGAGCAAACGGG